AGCUUCAAGGAGUCAUCAGGAUGCCAUUGUGACUAGGAUCACAUCUUGGUUUUUGUAAUAAUGCUAGCAGAGUACACACAAGAAGAAAAGUAACUGCACUAGAUGAUAAAGACUGGGGUGGACCUCUUUCUUAAUGUCCAGUGUCCUUUGUCUUAAAAUUUGGUGUAACAUGU
rnacentral:snoRNA from 1 species